rnacentral:lncRNA from 1 species
GCUUUUGUAUGAUGUUUUCUUAUUGUUUUGAAAACAAGAUAAUGAUAAAUUUAAAAGGAAUUCAAACAGAAUUAAAGUUAUUAAUGUACUUGAUGUAGAAUUUUCAAAUUUAGGAUGUUUGCUUCUGAAAGACUUAAAUUGAAAUUAACAACAUUUUUAUAAAUGAUGUCCCAUUAGAAAGAAAAUUUGUAUACAUCAUAUUUAUGGAGUAAAUUGUAAAAAGGGUCUCUGUUCUUUGAAAAAAUUAGAGUAUGCACUGUAAAGAGUCACUGAAUUCUUCUAAUAAAAUGAAUAGACUUAAUGUAUUCAAAAUAUACUAUAUAUAACCAUCUUUGUAUUCAAAAUAUACUAUUUAUAACAAGACAAUUUAACUUUCACUAGAUGUGUAUUUCUGUUUGAGUAUAGAGCACUAAGAAAUAUAAGGAUUUGUGGGUCUUUUUUUAUUUGAAGUCACAUCAAAGAUAAUGGACUUAUUGCUUAAGAGAAGACCAAAGGGGGUUAAACUUUUGAGAUUUCAUUUGUCACAAAAUUGUGUAAUGCCAAAUAACAGGACCUAACUGAUAUAUUAUUUAUCUGAUAGUGCAAUAUAACAUAGAAUCAGCUGAUUACAGCAGAGGCAAUAAUGGUAUUAUCUAUAGUAAACAAAUAUCUAGUAGGAAUUAUAGUAUUUCACAUGAUAACAUUUUGAACUAUUCAUUUUAAUAUCCAUUGGGGUUUGUAUAAGACAUUAUUGUAAACUUGUUAUAUUUUAUGCCUUGUCACUGUCUUUUUGUAUUGUAUUGUUGUUAAUUAUUUAAAAAGUGAAUUUAAUUUAAUAAAAAUCAAGUCUAUUCUUAUACCCAGAAAUGAAAAAUUAAAUAUGGGAUGACGUAUACUUUGUGUUUUUAUUAUAAUUUGCAGUGGGU